rfam:Jatropha curcas cultivar GZQX0401 scaffold779_62, whole genome shotgun sequence.
UGGAACAGUGAUGAGCCUACAGACCUGUAAUGAUUUGCGAUGAUGAUCGCAACUCUUUAGAACAUCUAAGGGACUGAGUUCUC